rnacentral:rRNA from 1 species
GAUGAACGCUGGCGGCGUGCCUAAUACAUGCAAGUCGAGCGAACAGACGAGGAGCUUGCUCCUCUGACGUUAGCGGCGGACGGGUGAGUAACACGUGGAUAACCUACCUAUAAGACUGGGAUAACUCCGGGAAACCGGAGCUAAUACCGGAUAAUAUAUUGAACCGCAUGGUUCAAUAGUGAAAGACGGUUUUGCUGUCACUUAUAGAUGGAUCCGCGCCGCAUUAGCUAGUUGGUAAGGUAACGGCUUACCAAGGCAACGAUGCGUAGCCGACCUGAGAGGGUGGUCGGCCACACUGGAACUGAGACACGGUCCAGACUCCUACGGGAGGCAGCAGUAGGGAAUCUUCCGCAAUGGGCGAAAGCUUGACGGAGCAACGCCGCGUGAGUGAUGAAGGUCUUCGGAUCGUAAAACUCUGUUAUUAGGGAAGAACAAAUGUGUAAGUAACUAUGCACGUCUUGACGGUACCUAAUCAGAAAGCCACGGCUAACUACGUG